UGAGGAAUAUUGGUCAAUGGGGGCAACCCUGAACCAGCCAAGUCGCGUGAAGGAUGAAGGUCUUAUGGAUUGUAAACUUCUUUUACACGGGAAUAAAGUGGGGGACGUGUCCCCCUUUGCAUGUACCGUGUGAAUAAGGAUCGGCUAACUCCGUGCCAGCAGCCGCGGUAAUACGGAGGAUCCGAGCGUUAUCCGGAUUUAUUGGGUUUAAAGGGUGCGCAGGCGGGAUGUUAAGUCGGCGGUGAAAUUUUGCAGCUCAACUGUAAAAGUGCCUUCGAUACUGGCCUCCUUGAGUGUGGAUGAAGUAGGCGGAAUUUGUGGUGUAGCGGUGAAAUGCUUAGAUAUCACGAGGAACUCCGAUUGCGCAGGCAGCUUACUAAGCCACAACUGACGCUCAUGCACGAAGGCGUGGGGAUCAAACA
rnacentral:rRNA from 1 species